GGGCAGUUGGCGCAGCGGUAGCGCGUCCGCCUCACACGCGGAAGGUCACAGGUUCAAAUCCUGUACUGCCCACCA
rnacentral:tRNA from 5 species